AUGCUUGCUUCAGCGGUACAUAUACUAAAACCGGAACGAUCCAGAGAAGAUUAGCAUGGCCUUUGUGCAAGGAUGACGCAAAUUCUUGAAGUUUUCCUAAUUUUU
rnacentral:snRNA from 1 species